GUCCAUCAUUCAGUUGGGCGACUUUAGUAGAGACUGCCGGUGUUAGCGGAGGAAGGUGGGGAUGACGUCAAGUCCUCAUGGCCUUUAUGUCUAGGGCUACACACGUGCUACAAUGGGUGGUACAAAGAGCAGCUAACUCGCGAGAGUAUGCAAAUCUCAAAAAGCCAUCCUCAGUUCGGAUUGGAGUCUGCAACUCGACUCCAUGAAGUUGGAAUCGCUAGUAAUCGCGGAUCAGCAUGCCGCGGUGAAUACGUUCCCGGGCCUU
rnacentral:rRNA from 1 species